GGAACUCAACCGAUAUUAUAUAGUGGUAUUAACCAAAAUCUAAAACAAUAAACCUGAUGGCUUGUGUUCAAGUAAUAUUAAGUCUGAUGAUGCAUUUGCCAAUAAAAGAAACUAGAAGGGCUUAGACUCAAAUGGCCGAAGGGAUAAGGUUCCCUAUCGUCAUCCACUCAUCCUCGAUGCAUCACAAACCCAUCGAUUUGUUUAGUUCUGCACAGAGGCACCGAUGCUGCGGUUCAUGGCGCCGCCGGCCGUAGCCAGAGGGCUUGCUCGUACAACGCCACGCGCCAGAGGGCGUUGCCGGCCGUCGGUUUCUGCGCCGUGCCGGAGGACGUCGCCUCCACUGCCGCUCAUGGUGCGCUCACGCCGAAGGGCUGGAUAGCCGCGUCGUGGUUGGUCGCUCCGUGGGAGCCGCCCUGAGGUCGAGAGCCUCGGAUGAUGGCCAUGUGGCGGGCUCGUCGCUGUGCGCCGAGGAUUCAGACCGAUGGAGGGCGCCGCCGGGGUGCGUCGGGCGCAGAGGGUGUCGCCUCUGCCUGGGCUGUGGACCGCGCUGCCGCGCGCCUGAGGGCAUUGCCAUGCCGGGCACCGGCCGUUGGCCGCUGCGGCCGCCUCCGGGUGCAGGCUGGGAGCAGCCGGGCCGAAGGUUUCCGCCGCUCCGCUAGGAGCCUGGCCGAGGCAGCGUUGUCCGGGCCAUGGGUCGCCGCCGAAGUUUGCCUUGGACGGCAUGCAAACGACGCCCUGGAGGUUAGUGCUUACUUCGUGCAGGAACGAAAUUGGAAUUGAAUCACCUGAUUGAUGUAUCAAUCAAGAUACAGAGUUGGUCUUUGGAUGAUUGUCGUUUUGUACGAGAUGUGUUACAGGGAUCUUGUAUGUUUCCUUCUGAUCCCCUCCCCGUUCUUACCUUUCUCUCUGGAUUUUGUGCUUUCAUCUCAUUUGCAUCUGGUUUCUUCCCAGAUCGAGAGAUUCGCCGCGCCUGGGCCGUGAACGCCUCGGGCUGAUGCGGGAGGUCGAGGCCACGCGACCACGCGCCGGCUGGAGACUUGCGCCGCCGUGCCGUUCUGCAGCGUGAGGCGUGCACGCAUCACGCACCGGUGGGCUUGGACUGUCGCCAGUUCCGCGUUGCUCGCAGGCGAGCCGUUCGUGAAAACGCUCCGCCGGGGACAACGCGAUGCGUCAAAGAGGUCUGGGCUCGCACUCGUUCGGCUGUCUCUCGGCCAUCAAAGACAUCGCCGGUGACGGAUUGAUAGUGUGCGGGCGCCGCCGGCGCUGCCAGUUUGUUUAGUGGCCUAAUCGCUUGCUCGGGUCGGGUUAGGGCAAAGGGCUGAUAACAUGUUGAAUGUAAAAGUGAUUGAAUGAAGGAAAGGCUCCUGAUUUCAUUGAUUCUCAAGAUAUAUAUACACUCGGUAGUUACAAUAGAGAUGGGAAGGGAAAGAAUGCGUCUGUACGGACACAUGCGUCCGUACGAGGCGUCUGUUCGGUGUUGGACACACCUAUUCAACUAAUGACGGUUCAUUAAUUAACCCGUGUUAAUUAACUAACAUAUAAAAUCUACUAGAAGAACGCCCGUGCGUUGCAACG
rnacentral:lncRNA from 1 species